ensembl:lincRNA
AGCAAAUAGGGAAAUAGAUCCUUCUCAACUGGACAGGAGAUCAAGAGAUGGAGGGAUGGGAAGAAAAGAAGAAUGAAGAUGUGCUCUGUACACAUGCCAACUCCACACAAGGAGUGUAAACAUUAUGCACUGCAGACUGUACUGAGAGAACAGGAAAGCAACAGAAAAGAUUCUUCAGAGGAAGACACUCUGUAGCGUUCAUCCCCCAAGAUGAGUUCCCCAAGGGAAGCAGAAUUUUGCCAAAGUCUUCUGCUUGAAAACCAAAUUGUUUGAGAACAGAGUUUGUCAACUGAGGCAUUACUCUAAAUCUAAAAGAAAGAUACGUCUAAGGUCUCUCCGGCUGCCUGCCCAGGACCACCCGGCUGGUGCGCAACCUCCCGGACUGCACGGCACCAGAUCCAGUAAGUAAGGUAGCCACACGGGCACCCUUGAAACACCCCC